rnacentral:rRNA from 1 species
GCCUACCAAGGCGACGAUCCAUAGCUGGUCUGAGAGGAUGAUCAGCCACAUUGGGACUGAGACACGGCCCAAACUCCUACGGGAGGCAGCAGUGGGGAAUAUUGGACAAUGGGCGCAAGCCUGAUCCAGCCAUGCCGCGUGAGUGAUGAAGGUCUUAGGAUUGUAAAGCUCUUUCACCGGGGACGAUAAUGACGGUACCCGGAGAAGAAGCCCCGGCUAACUUCGUGCCAGCAGCCGCGGUAAUACGAAGGGGGCUAGCGUUGUUCGGAAUUACUGGGCGGAAAGCGCACGUAGGCGGAUAUUUAAGUCAGGGGUGAAAUCCCGGGGCUCAACCCCGGAACUGCCUUUGAUACUGGGUAUCUUGAGUGUGGUACAGGUGAGUGGAAUUGCGAGUGUAGAGGUGAAAUUCGUAGAUAUUCGCAGGAACACCAGUGGCGAAGGCGGCUCACUGGACCACAACUGACGCUGAGGUGCGAAAGCGUGGGGAGCAAACAGGAUUA